rfam:Gossypium arboreum cultivar AKA8401 contig_5438_1, whole genome shotgun sequence.
UAUUAAAAAUUUCAUCCAUUUCUACAGUUAAAAAUUGGCGUGACUGAUAGAAUAACUAGACAAUUACACAUGGCAUGCUAUGUGUACCUCAUGUUAAUGUAUAAAUACCAACUUUUAACAGUAGAAAUAGAUAAAUUAUUUAACG